rnacentral:rRNA from 1 species
GUAGGGAAUAUUGGGCAAUGGAUGCAAGUCUGACCCAGCCAUCCCGCGUGCCGGAAGAAGGCCCUCAGGGUUGUAAACGGCUUUUGACGGUGAAGAAUCGACAGGAUGCGUCCUGUUUUGACGGUAGCCGUUGAAUAAGCACCGGCUAACUCCGUGCCAGCAGCCGCGGUAAUACGGAGGGUGCGAGCGUUGUCCGGAUUUAUUGGGUUUAAAGGGUGCGUAGGCUGGAAGGUCAGUCAGCGGUGAAAAGCUGUCGCUUAACGAUAGUCUUGCCGCAGAUACUUCCGUCCUUGGAUGAGGAGGAGGCCACUGGAACGGAUGGUGUAGCGGUGAAAUGCAUAGAUAUCAUCCAGAACACCGAUUGCGAAGGCAGGUGGCUGUACCUUAAUCGACGCUGAUGCACGAAAGCAUGGGGAGCAAACAGGAUUAGAAACCCCAGUAGUCC